GCCACGCAUGGUGGUGCAUGCCUGUAAUCCCAGCAACUUGGGAGGCUGAGGCAGGAGGAUGGCCAUUUGGAGGCCAGACUCAGCAGCUU
rnacentral:sRNA from 1 species